UGUAGCUCAGUGGUAGAACAUGUGCUUCGCACACACAAUAUACAUGAAGCCCUGGGUUCAAACCCCAGCA
rnacentral:tRNA from 1 species